rnacentral:rRNA from 1 species
AGCAGCCGCGGUAAUUCCAGCUCCAAUAGCGUAUAUUAAAGUUGUUGCAGUUAAAAAGCUCGUAGUUGAAUUUCGGGGUCAGUAGGUUGGUCAUGCCACAGGUAUGUACUGAUCUUACUGAUUCCUCCUUCCUGAUGAACCGUAAUGCCAUUAAUUUGGUGUUGCGGGGAAACUGGACUGUUACUUUGAAAAAAUUAGAGUGUUUAAAGCAGGCUAACGCUUGAAUACAUUAGCAUGGAAUAAUGAAAUAGGACGUUCGAUCCUAUUUUGUUGGUUUCUAGGAUUGACGUAAUGAUUAAUAGGGAUAGUUGGGGGCAUUAGUAUUCAAUUGUCAGAGGUGAAAUUCUUGGAUUUAUUGAAGACUAACUACUGCGAAAGCAUUUGCCAAGGAUGUUUUCAUUAAUCAAGAACGAAAGUUAGGGGAUCGAAGACGAUCAGAUACCGUCGUAG